AUUAAUUCGAUGCAACGCGAAGAACCUUGCCUGGGCUUGACAUACACCGGACCGGACCAGAGAUGGUCUUUCCCUUGUGGCUGGUGUACAGGUGGUGCAUGGUUGUCGUCAGCUCGUGUCGUGAGAUGUUGGGUUAAGUCCCGCAACGAGCGCAACCCUUGUCUUAUGUUGCCAGCACGUAGUGGUGGGGACUCAUGAGAGACUGCCGGGGUCAACUCGGAGGAAGGUGGGGAUGACGUCAAAUCAUCAUGCCCCUUAUGUCCAGGGCUUCACACAUGCUACAAUGGUCGGUACAACGCGUUGCGACACUGUGAGGUGGAGCUAAUCGCUGAAAGCCGGCCUCAGUUCGGAUUGGGGUCUGCAACUCGACCCCAUGAAGUCGGAGUCGCUAGUAAUCGCAGAUCAGCAACGCUG
rnacentral:rRNA from 1 species